AGCAUCAGACCUAAAGGGAGUGUCCUGCCUGAAGGACCGGCUCAAGGUCGCACUAACAGCUCUUGCUAACUCCUGUUCCAGGCUGUUUAUCUGGGCCUCCAAGUACCCUGCUUGCGCCUGGAGGUCUCUCACCCCCAGGUCCUGCUCAAAGCUGUGCACUUGGGCCCCCAGGCAUGCGGCUUGCUCCGGAAGGUCCCUUACCUGUGGCACUGAGCAUGUACUUCCUGCAGUGCAGUUAGAAAUGCCCAUCCGACUCUGCUUGCAAAGUGCAGAGAGGGAGACACCCUUACAAAUGGAGAUUUGCUGGAUAGAAAUGUGGCCAAAGAGUUCAAUAAAAGGGCACAGCUGCUUAAAGACUGUUACCGGAAAGGAAUCCUGAUCCAGACGCCAAGAGAGGGUUCUUGGACUCAUGCAAGAAAGACUUCAGAAUACGAGUUUUGAAUUUUUGAAUUGCUGUUAAAACUUUCAUCAUGAACACUGAAGUGAGUGAAAAGAGACUUUUGCAGUCAUUUUUUUGCUGGCUGCAGAUGACAGUGACACCCUGGGAGUUGAGAAAUGCUUGUAAGAUGGAAGGAGGCUGUGUCCCUGAAUGAUCACCUGGAAGAGAGCCACCUUAGCCAAUGAAACUCCUGCUAUGAAUGUUUGCUGAGCAAGAAAUAUACUUACUGCUUUAUAUGCCUUUGAAGCUAUAGGUUCAUAUUGUUACCACAAUUUAAAGUGCUAUAAUAAAAAGAGUUCAGGAAGCAGGCACAUGGAAGCAAUAAGAGCAACAAACAUUUACACAGUUCUCAGGUCCCUGGACCAUGAAGGGCCACAUCCAAGGAGCUACCCCAGGAGGCCUCUCAUUUGCAUUUGUCCCCGCUAAUGCAGGACAGAGAUCAUGGAAGUUGGGCCCGACUGGAUGAGAUUUGGGGGUCUUUGGAAGUGGAGAAUGUGUUUGCCCUGGGGAAGAGAGGUGAUGUCUAGGAGACCUCUUCACUCAGGGCAAGCUCUAUGACCUGCUUUGACUCCAGAAUGUGGUAGAAGUGGCAUCACAUAAAUUGCAGAGCCUAGGCUUCAAGAGACCUUGCAACUUGCCUCUCACUGACUUGAAGUGCUCCCAUCAGAGCAUCUUGUAAGGAGCAGGUGGAGCAUGUGGACAAGCCAUCCCCACCAGCCCCUGAGACAUGUGAGAGAGGCCAGAACAGGCCAUCCGGACCCCACUGUGCUGGUGGAUGAGACAGCAGAAGGAAUAUCAACCUACCAACAGAAUCCUGAG
rnacentral:lncRNA from 1 species